CGCGAAUUCGCCCUUCGGGGUGCAGCAGGCGCGAAAACUUUACACUGCGGGAAACCUCGAUAAGGGGACCCCGAGUGCCAUCACCUAAUGAUGGCUGUCCAGUUGUCUAAAUAACAUCUGUAAUCAAGGGACGGGCAAUACCGGUGCCACCCGCCGCGGUAACACCGGUCGCCCAAGUGGUAGCCUCUAUUAUUGGGUUUAAAGGGUCCGUACCCGGUUUAUUAAUUCUUUUGGGAAAUCUGGCAGCUCAUUCGUCAAGCGUCCAAAAUAUACUGUUAGGCUUGGAACCGGGAGAGGUGGGAGGUACUCCAGGGGUAGGGGUGAAAUCUUGUAAUCCUUGAGAGACCACCUAUGGAGAAGGCAUCCCACCAGAACGGCUCAGACGGUAAGGAACGAAAUCUGGGGAGCACAAACCGAUAUUAUAUACCCGGGUACUCCCAGCUGUAAACAUAUGCUCUCUAGUGUGUCAGGUGCGGUGCGACCGUUUUUGGUGCCGCAGUGAAUACUUGAAGCUGAGUCACCUGGGAAUUACAGUCGCAAGGUUGAAACUUAAAGGAAUUGGCGGGGAAGCAC
rnacentral:rRNA from 1 species